CGCGGUAAUACAGAGGGUGCAAACGUUGCUCGGAAUUACUGGGCGUAAAGCGCGUGUAGGCGGUUUUAUAAGUCCGACGUGAAAGCCCGGGGCUCAACCCCGGAAGUGCGCUGGAUACUGUGAAGCUGGAGUCCUGAAGAGGAGAGCGGAAUUCCCGGUGUAGAGGUGAAAUUCGUAGAUAUCGGGAGGAACACCUGUGGCGAAGGCGGCUCUCUGGGCAGGUACUGACGCUGAGACGCGAAAGCGUGGGGAGCAAACAGGAUUAGAUACCCUGGUAGUCCACGCUGUAAACGAUGAGAACUAGCCGUUGUGGGUAUUGACCCCCGCAGUGGCGAAGCCAACGCGUUAAGUUCUCCGCCUGGGAAGUACGGCCGCAAGGCUAAAACUCAAAGGAAUUGACGGGG
rnacentral:rRNA from 1 species